GCACCGCGCCCUCUCCGGCGCGGACUCUCCUUCGCGCGGGGUUGGAGGCACCGCAUUGGGACUUGCGCUGGCGCUGGCUGUGCCGCUCCGCACCGCCCACCCGCUUCACGAAACACACGGGCAUCGCCCUCCACGCAGUCGAGUCAAGUGCAUCUUCAUCAUCGCCCAGAAGGAACGGUUCUUCCCCCUGCCAGGCACCUUGGCACAGCCCAUACCUGGACGCUUUUCGGCAACCCCUGUUGACAUCUCACCUCCCCUGUUCCUCGGUGUCUUCAUCAGUCAGCCCCUCGCCUACUUGCAUUUGCCUCACGUCCCCCAACAGCUGGAGGAACACCCCACCUAGUGUUUUAUGACACCCAAGGAUCUCCCCUCUCCACACCCUCCACCCUUCUCUCUCUCAUUGCAGGCGUAGGAGCCUCAUGGAGAAGACCUCUGAUGUCCCUCAACCUUUGCCACAUUGCAACUUAGUGCAUCUUGGUCUCCCCCUUACCAGGGACACUGCUGGCACCAG